AUUUUAUUGAAGGAAAUGUGAACAAACAGCAACAACAAUCGUCUCAUUUUUUCUCUGAGAAUCGUUCAACACUAAGUUUCGUUUGAUUCUGAGAAUCGUUCAACUUCGAUUCAGAAUCGUUCAUCAUCCCUCAAGGUUCAGAAUCUUUCAAUUGAAUUUCAGUUCUCUCAAGCUUCGAUUGAGCAAAUUCUUCUCAGCUUCUCAAGCUUCGAUUCAGUUUCUCAGCAAAGCUUCAAUUCAUAACCUCUCAAGCUUCAAUUUAGUUUUGUUCAUCGUUCAACUUCAGCUUCGGUUUAUAAUUUUGUUAUUUUUUUUGUAGUUAUUUUUCCAAUGUUCCCUAUAAAUUGGUAAUUAGGUAAUUGGAAAUUUGUCCUAUGAAGCAUUGAUUUGUUGAUUGGUUUAUAUGGUUCAUAUGAAGCAUUAUAAGUAUGGUUUAUGUGAAGCAUUACAAUGAGCAUAUGAUGAAAUGCUUCAUGUUUGGGUAGCAUUAAAACUCUUGACUUAAUCAAUUGUUGUGAAAUCCUGAACAAAUUUUUGUGAAAUUGUUGUUAUGAUAGGUUGAAGAAGUUGUGAAGAUGAUGGAAAUUGAGUUGGGAAGUGGAUGGAUAGCUCAUCAGCACUGUAAGGACAGGAAGGUGUCAUUGUCAGGUUCAAUCUGUACUGCUGUUACUUGGCGGCCGUGAAAUACCUCCAACAGUACCUUCCAUGCCACUGACGAAAAUAACCGGGUAAUACUACAUUAUUCGUUGGAGUGUGAUUGAUAGUCUUUUGUAGUCGAAUAUCUGGCUCAUGGAGCAUUCUACUAGGGAUUUAUCAGUACUCCUCAAAAAUUCAGUGUCCCUCAAAGAUUAGCUUCAUUGAUUAGAAGUAGUAUUAAGGAUGCUAACAAAUACUCUCACUAGCAGACAAUUAAUUUGGUGGCGCGAUAUCUUGAAGAUUGGGGGAGAAGACAACGAUGAUGGAUGGUUUAUUGAUAAUGUGUGUAAUGUUCUUGGCGUUGGCACCAUAGAUGGUUGGGUCCAGUUUGCUUCAAGAAUCUUGAUCCUAGUUUGUUUAGCAAAGCUGCAAACCCAGGGGCCUCUCAGAGGCUGAUGAGAAUUGGAAUUGGCAGACGUCUUGCUGCCAGGAGAGAGGGAAACUGCCACCGAAAAGUUGAGCAUUCUGUCAGAGUUCAAAAACCAAUUUUUGAUCCCCUAUUUCAAUUUUUUUUUACUUUAAGUCUCCAAUCCUAUUGGGAUUUCAAAUCCACAUUGCAUACAUGAGUGUAAUUUUUUGCCUUCCACAUGUAUACAGGCCAGCGAUAACAAAAUUCUAUUUAAUCAAAUCGAAUAAAUACUCCGGUCUGUUUCUACUUAAAGUAACUAUUUAAGCCAAAAAAAAAUAGUUACUUUAAGUUUCUAA